rnacentral:tRNA from 3 species
GGGGCUGUAGCUCAGUUGGUAGAGCGCUUGCAUGGCAUGCAAGAGGUCGUCGGUUCGACCCCGAUCAGCUCCACAA